CGUAGGAGGCGAGCGUUAUCCUGAUUCACUGGGCGUAAAGCGCGUGCAGGCGGUUCGGUAAGUUGGGUAUGAAAUCUCCUGGCUUAACUAGGAGAGGUUAUCCAAUACUACCGGACUAGAGAGUGGUAGAGGAAGAUGGAAUUCCAGGUGUAGUGGUGAAAUGCGUAGAUAUCUGGAGGAACACCAGUGGCGAAAGCGAUCUUCUGGACCAUUUCUGACGCUCAGACGCGAAAGCUAGGGUAGUAAACGGGAUUAGAGACCCCGGUAAUCCUAGCCGUAAACGAUGUAAACUUGGUGCCGGUGGCUUUAACUCCUUCGGCACCGAAGCUAACGCGAUAAGUUUACCGCCUGGGGACUACGAUCGCAAGAUUA
rnacentral:rRNA from 1 species